UGGGCGUCCGGGCGCCGCGUCUACCCGCGGUGCAUGGUGGGGCCGUCGCCUCAGACAACCAGGUCCGGGCGGCCCCGAGGCUGUGCGGAGCCGGUAAGGCGGCGGAAUGCGCCGGGCUACCGCGCCAUCCGCGUACCUGCCGAGCCCCGACUACUACAAGAGGCUGGACCACCUCCAGCAAGGGCUGCGGGACAGUGAAAAGAAGAGAUUGGAACUAGAAAGGAAACUCUAUGAAUGUAAUCAAUCUGAUAUAUGCAGAGUUAAGCCGAAGUAUGGAGAACUAAAGAAAUACCUGAAGGAAAUAUGUGAAUCAGAAAAGAGGGCUCGAACUCGAAACCAAGAAUACUUAAAGCGGUUUGAGCAGAUCCAAGCUCACCUUGGGCACUUUACCGCAAAGGCAGAACUGAAGCUGCAAGAACUGAAGGUUGAAUAUGAGACUCAACUUAAGAAGAUGCAGCUACUUUCAAAAGAGGAAAAGAGUGAAGUGAAAGAGGAGGAUGGAGCAAAGCUUGUAAUGCCAGCAAAAAUUAACUUGGGGACAGCUGUGUCAAGAGGAUUGUAUCAGCCAGCAACAAUCUUUAUGGGCCGCCAAAUGUCAGCCGUCUCAAGCAUGGGGGAUUUCAGUGCAGAGCAGAAAUCUCCCCAGCCCACAAAGAACUUUUCAAUUCCUGACCCACAUUCACACCGACAGACAGCCCAGCGCAGUGAUGUGACAGACAGCGAUGUAGUACAAACUAAUGGUGACAAGCAGUGCUUAAAUAAGUCUGACAAAACAGAUGGAAAGACAUCUCUUCAGAUUGGUGAGAAAAUGCCCGUCACAGCCAGCGCCUUGUCUGAGGAGGAACAGACUCAUUGCUCCAAGAUAGGAAGCGGUGCCUGUCUUGGCAAGAGUCAUUUAUCUGAAGGCAGAAGGUCCCCUGGGCUCUAUUCCCCGUUACAGGCGAGAUUAAGCCCAAAGAACAGAACCACUGAUUUAAAGUGCGACGGUUCCAGCAGAUUGGAGGGAACAGAGGCAGAAAUUCUGACACGGAAACAUAUUGAAGUUGAGGAAGAAAGAGCCAGACCGCUAGUCCCCUUGCUAUCAGCCUCAGAAUCCUGUGCAUCUGAAAAUAAGUGUUCUCAAGAGAAGCAUGACGCUCAGGAAGCUUUCUCAGGUGAGGUGAGAGACCAUCCUCUGUACGGGGACCCUGGGUCACAGCAGCCCUUCAGGAAAUUGCAGGAAGAGCAAGAGGAGCAUUCGGGCAGCAGCAGUGACCUCACAGUUUCUAUAAGCGAAGAUGAUCUGAUUUUAGAGACUCCAGAACCACAGUCAAAUCCAGCUGAUACGAUGGAGGGAGAAGAUGGAAUAGAGGCCUUAAACCUAAUCCACUCUGAGCAAGAAAGAGACGCCCUAUCCACUAAAAAACAGAAUUGUAUUGUGCAAACUGUAAGCUCUCUGGAUUCAAAAAAGGAGUCCUCCACUAACUUGCCAGCAAGAGAGCUCUCUGAUCACCGUGACAUUGUGAAAGAAGACCUUGAAGCCUGCGGAGCCGCCGUCCUUCACCAGCCUCCAAGACUCUCCCUGGGGGGUGGCAGCCAUGAAGCCCCUGGCAGAGUUGAACAAGCCUCAGGCUUAGUGAGGACACAAUCGGGUCAGCAUGUUGCCACCUUGAAAGGACAUGAUAAUUCUUCCCAAGAAGAGGUAGCGAAGCUGUCUGAAGUUUUCCCAGUCAAGAACAUGGACCAGAGAAUGAGGGUGGCAGCAGCACUGUGGAAGGACCUUCCAGAAGAGGAUGUGGAGAGGUCGGCUGUUGGCAGUAGGAAGUCAUCCUGCAGCUCACCAUCUACCCUGAAUGCCAGCAGUGGAGUAAAGGAUGCAGAGCCCGCCCUGUGGCUCAGCGGUGGUCCUACAAGGAAAGAAGAAGUUUCAAAUGACUGCAGAGAGGAGAGUGCCGAAGAAAGCGAGGAAGCAAGGAUGCCCAUCACAGAAACGAAAGCCUACCAGAUGCUGAAGCAGUCCACCCUUCAGGACAGCGCCCGUCAGCAUGAAGCCAAAUCGCAGAAGGUGGCAGCCCCUGCCUCACAGCUGUUGGGUGAGCAGGGCAGACGGGCCAUGUCUGGGAGGCCCCAGGCCGUGGCAGGGCUGGGUUCACAGAAGGGUGCUCCCGCUUCGAAGGUUUCUGGACUUGGUUUUGUAACAAGUUGUCAUUGGGUCAGAAUGAGCCAGGACUUUUCCAGUCCUAGACAAACUAGAGCUGGGACGAGUAGUCCUCCCUCCAGGAUGUGUGCUGGCGAUGGCCCUACAGACCCUUGGAUUCUGCCUGGCCUGUCGCCACAGGAGCCACCCCAAGCCCCUUCUCUUUGCACGUCCUCCGGCUUCUGGAGCAGCAGUGGGUUGUGUCAUCUGGGCUCUACUUCCUUGCCAGAAGGUUGGGGCAUUGCGGGGUCCAAUGAACAUGGAAAGACUGAGGGAAAGCUCAGUUUUAAGCUUCAGUGUAAUUCCUUCAGUCUAGGGUUUUUGUUUUAAUUGUAAUUUCUUUAGCUUUCCUAUGUAUUAUAUUUGUAAUAUUUUUACCGGUUUUUACUUUAUUACAUUUUUUUAAAAAUAUAAGUCAUCUCAGCUUUCCUUUGUGAAUGUGCAUGGAUUAAUAAUGGAAGGAAGUAUGUACUUUAAUGACUUUUCUAUUUGUAUUAUAAACCACAGGUUAGAAUUCCACCUAUCAGAAAGAACAGUGAUUCCUUAACAUCCCGUAAUUCCCAGUCCACAUUCGGAUUUCCAGCUGUCUCAAAGAUGUCUUCAUCAGACAGACACGUUUUUGAGGGAGAUGUUUAUGGUUUGAAUGUUGGCAGCGGCACC